UACGGAGGGGGCAAGCGUUAUUCGGAAUUAUUGGGCGUAAAGGGCGCGUAGGCGGCUUGGCAAGUGGAUGGUGAAAUCCCUCGGCUUAACCGAGGAACUGCCGUCCAAACUGCUUUGCUUGAGACCGGGAGAGGUGAGUGGAAUUCCCAGUGUAGCGGUGAAAUGCGUAGAUAUUGGGAGGAACACCAGUGGCGAAGGCGGCUCACUGGACCGGUACUGACGCUGAGGCGCGAAAGCUAGGGGAGCAAACGGG
rnacentral:rRNA from 1 species